rnacentral:rRNA from 1 species
UGGGGAAUAUUGGACAAUGGGCGCAAGCCUGAUCCAGCAAUGCCGCGUGUGUGAAGAAGGUCUUCGGAUUGUAAAGCACUUUCGGCGGGGACGAUGAUGACGGUACCCGCAGAAGAAGCCCCGGCUAACUUCGUGCCAGCAGCCGCGGUAAUACGAAGGGGGCUAGCGUUGCUCGGAAUGACUGGGCGUAAAGGGCGCGUAGGCGGAUGACACAGUCAGGCGUGAAAUUCCUGGGCUCAACCUGGGGGCUGCGUUUGAUACAUGUUGUCUGGAGUUCGGAAGAGGGUCGUGGAAUUCCCAGUGUAGAGGUGAAAUUCGUAGAUAUUGGGAAGAACACCGGUGGCGAAGGCGGCGACCUGGUCCGAUACUGACGCUGAGGCGCGAAAGCGUGGGGAGCAAACAGGAUUAGAUACCCCCGUAGUCC